GGUAGCUUGCUACUGAUCUUAGCGGCGGACGGGUGAGUAAUGCUUAGGAAUCUGCCUAUUAGUGGGGGACAACAUCUCGAAAGGGAUGCUAAUACCGCAUACGUCCUACGGGAGAAAGCAGGGGAUCUUCGGACCUUGCGCUAAUAGAUGAGCCUAAGUCGGAUUAGCUAGUUGGUGGGGUAAAGGCCUACCAAGGCGACGAUCUGUAGCGGGUCUGAGAGGAUGAUCCGCCACACUGGGACUGAGACACGGCCCAGACUCCUACGGGAGGCAGCAGUGGGGAAUAUUGGACAAUGGGGGGAACCCUGAUCCAGCCAUGCCGCGUGUGUGAAGAAGGCCUUAUGGUUGUAAAGCACUUUAAGCGAGGAGGAGGCUACUUUAGUUAAUACCUAGAGAUAGUGGACGUUACUCGCAGAAUAAGCACCGGCUAACUCUGUGCCAGCAGCCGCGGUAAUACAGAGGGUGCAAGCGUUAAUCGGAUUUACUGGGCGUAAAGCGCGCGUAGGCGGCUAAUUAAGUCAAAUGUGAAAUCCCCGAGCUUAACUUGGGAAUUGCAUUCGAUACUGGUUAGCUAGAGUGUGGGAGAGGAUGGUAGAAUUCCAGGUGUAGCGGUGAAAUGCGUAGAGAUCUGGAGGAAUACCGAUGGCGAAGGCAGCCAUCUGGCCUAACACUGACGCUGAGGUGCGAAAGCAUGGGGAGCAAACAGGAUUAGAUACCCUGGUAGUCCAUGCCGUAAACGAUGUCUACUAGCCGUUGGGGCCUUUGAGGCUUUAGUGGCGCAGCUAACGCGAUAAGUAGACCGCCUGGGGAGUACGGUCGCAAGACUAAAACUCAAAUGAAUUGACGGGGGCCCGCACAAGCGGUGGAGCAUGUGGUUUAAUUCGAUGCAACGCGAAGAACCUUACCUGGCCUUGACAUAGUAAGAACUUUCCAGAGAUGGAUUGGUGCCUUCGGGAACUUACAUACAGGUGCUGCAUGGCUGUCGUCAGCUCGUGUCGUGAGAUGUUGGGUUAAGUCCCGCAACGAGCGCAACCCUUUUCCUUAUUUGCCAGCGAGUAAUGUCGGGAACUUUAAGGAUACUGCCAGUGACAAACUGGAGGAAGGCGGGGACGACGUCAAGUCAUCAUGGCCCUUACGGCCAGGGCUACACACGUGCUACAAUGGUCGGUACAAAGGGUUGCUACACAGCGAUGUGAUGCUAAUCUCAAAAAGCCGAUCGUAGUCCGGAUUGGAGUCUGCAACUCGACUCC
rnacentral:rRNA from 1 species